rnacentral:tRNA from 1 species
AGGGGCGUAGCUCAACCUGGUAGAGCACCGGUCUCCAAAACCGGCGGUUGGGGGUUCAAGUCCCUCCGCCCCUG